rnacentral:tRNA from 1 species
GCGUAAUUAGUAUAAUGGUUAUUAUCUCGGUUUCCCAUCUACCGAGGAUCGGAGUUCGAUUCUCCGGUUACGCA